rnacentral:rRNA from 1 species
UACGUAGGGUGCGAGCGUUGUCCGGAAUUAUUGGGCGUAAAGAGCUCGUAGGCGGUCUGUCGCGUCUGCUGUGAAAACCCGAGGCUCAACCUCGGGCCUGCAGUGGGUACGGGCAGACUAGAGUGCGGUAGGGGAGACUGGAAUUCCUGGUGUAGCGGUGAAAUGCGCAGAUAUCAGGAGGAACACCGGUGGCGAAGGCGGGUCUCUGGGCCGUAACUGACGCUGAGGAGCGAAAGCGUGGGGAGCGAACAGG